ACUGAACGCUGGCGGCAUGCUUUACACAUGCAAGUCGAACGGCAGCGGGGAGGAGCUUGCUUCUCUGCCGGCGAGUGGCGAACGGGUGAGUAAUACAUCGGAACGUGUCGAGAAGAGGGGGAUAACCACCCGAAAGGGUGGCUAAUACCGCAUAAAUUCUGAGGAAGAAAGCUGGGGACCUGGGAAUAGGCCUAGCGCUUUUUGAGCGGCCGAUGUCGGAUUAGCUAGUUGGUGAGGUAAAGGCUCACCAAGGCGAAGAUCUGUAGCGGGUCUGAGAGGAUGAUCCGCCACACUGGGACUGAGACACGGCCCAGACUCCUACGGGAGGCAGCAGUGGGGAAUUUUGGACAAUGGGGGCAACCCUGAUCCAGCCAUGCCGCGUGUAUGAAGAAGGCCUUAGGGUUGUAAAGUACUUUUGUUAGGGAAGAAAAGUCAGCUGUGAAUAAUGGCUGAUACUGACGGUACCUAAAGAAUAAGCACCGGCUAACUACGUG
rnacentral:rRNA from 1 species